UCUAAUAUGGCAGAUUAGUGCAAUGGAUUUAAACCCCAUAUAUAAAGUUUAAACUUUUUUUAGAA
rnacentral:tRNA from 10 species